UCCCUGCUGGCUCAGAUGGUAAAGAAUCUGCCUGCAAUGUGGAAGAUCCAGGUUCAAUCCCUGGGUCAGGAA
rfam:TPA: Bos taurus chromosome 20, whole genome shotgun sequence.